rnacentral:rRNA from 1 species
GUGGGGAAUCUUGCGCAAUGGGCGAAAGCCUGACGCAGCCAUGCCGCGUGGAUGAUGAAGGUCUUAGGAUUGUAAAAUCCUUUCACCGGUGAAGAUAAUGACUGUAGCCGGAGAAGAAGCCCCGGCUAACUUCGUGCCAGCAGCCGCGGUAAUACGAAGGGGGCUAGCGUUGCUCGGAUUUACUGGGCGUAACGGGCGCGUAGGCGGACAUUUAAGUCAGGGGUGAAAUCCCGGGGCUCAACCUCGGAACUGCCUUUGAUACUGGGUGUCUUGAGUAUGAGAGAGGUGUGUGGAACUCCGAGUGUAGAGGUGAAAUUCGUAGAUAUUCGGAAGAACACCAGUGGCGAAGGCGACACACUGGCUCAUUACUGACGCUGAGGCGCGAAAGCGUGGGGAGCAAACAGGAUUAGAUACCCUAGUAGUCC